GCCAACAACCUUAUAAAAUUAGCAUAAGGAGGGGUUUUUCUUGGUUGAAUACAGAAAAAGAGAGGAAUAAUAGCUGAAAACGACUGCUAAUAUCCUGUAGGCUGAAAAAAAAAAGGAGGAAUCUGCUCGAGGAAGGGUCUGACUAGCUAGUUGGUGAGGCAAUAACUUAUCAAGGUGAUGAUUAGUAGUUGGUCUGAUAAGAUGAUCAACCACACCAGGACUGAGGUACAACCCAAACUCCUAUGGGAGGCAGC
rfam:Capsicum annuum cultivar Zunla-1 chromosome 11, whole genome shotgun sequence